GAUGAACGCUGGCGGCGUGCCUAAUACAUGCAAGUCGAGCGAACGGACGAGAAGCUUGCUUUUAUGAUGUUAGCGGCGGACGGGUGAGUAACACGUGGAUAACAUACCUAUAAGACUGGGAUAACUUCGGGAAACCGGAGCUAAUACCGGAUAAUAUUUUGCACCGCAUGGUUCCAAAGUGAAAGACGGUCUUGCUGUCACUUAUAGAUGGAUCCGCGCUGCAUUAGCUAGUUGGUAAGGUAACGGCUUACCAAGGCAACGAUGCAUAGCCGACCUGAGAGGGUGGUCGGCCACACUGGAACUGAGACACGGUCCAGACUCCUAGGGGAGGCAGCAGUAGGGAAUCUUCCGCAAUGGACGAAAGCCUGAUGUAGCAACGCCGCGUGAGUGAUGAAGCUCUUCGGAUCGUAAAGCUCUGUUAUUAGGGAGGAACAUAUGUUUAAGUAACUGUGCACAUCUUGACGGUACCUAAACAAAAAGCCCCGGCUAACUACGUG
rnacentral:rRNA from 1 species